rnacentral:rRNA from 1 species
GACGAACGCUGGCGGCGUGCUUAACACAUGCAAGUCGAACGGAAAGGCCCUGCUUUUGUGGGGUGCUCGAGUGGCGAACGGGUGAGUAACACGUGAGUAACCUGCCCUUGACUUUGGGAUAACUUCAGGAAACUGGGGCUAAUACCGGAUAGGAGCUCCUGCUGCAUGGUGGGGGUUGGAAAGUUUCGGCGGUUGGGGAUGGACUCGCGGCUUAUCAGCUUGUUGGUGGGGUAGUGGCUUACCAAGGCUUUGACGGGUAGCCGGCCUGAGAGGGUGACCGGCCACAUUGGGACUGCGAUACGGCCCAGACUCCUACGGGAGGCAGCAGUGGGGAAUAUUGCACAAUGGGCGGAAGCCUGAUGCAGCAACGCCGCGUGCGGGAUGACGGCCUUCGGGUUGUAGUCCGCUUUCGCCUGUGACGAAGCGUGAGUGACGGUAAUGGGUAAAGAAGCACCGGCUAACUACGUG